GCCUCUUUAGUUAAAUGGAUAUAACAGCCCCCUCCUAAGGGGCAGUUGUAGGUUCGAUUCCUACAAGGGGUG
rnacentral:tRNA from 1 species